GCUGGAAACACUGGGAGGGAGGAACUUUGAAAAAACGGCCACUGCCGCCCGCUAUGUCUCGGUCGUGGGUUCGUUAUCCAGUUGUGCGUCAUUCUAAGCCGUUCUGUACAUUUAUACUGGAUAUUAACUGGAGUCAUUUAGCUCUGCUGAUGCUGUUUGCCGUGUGUUUUGCAUCAGUGCUUCGUGACAUCGGCUGUAUUGCGUGUUUUCGCCGACGGCUUACUACCACAAUGGCGGGAUCUGCGUUCGCCGCCUUCGUGUCUCGGUGCGUCUUUGUACGUCGCACGUUCGGAUAACACUUUUUCCGACGGCUGGACAUCCUUCUUGUACCUUGGCGCUAGCUGGAUGACGGGACCUCAUCAUGAUCAGUGUAAGCCAAUGUACUGUACCCUCUCUGGUCCUCCCAGUGCUUUUUAUAUGGGUUAAAGCCAGGGAGCGCUUCGUGGUAGAAUAGCUAGUUGGUGUCUCACAAACGGGCAGUUUUUUGCACUGGUCCAUUAUAAGCUGCCACUAUUAUAACCAAUUUCUUAGUGCCAGUGUACAUACACAGUUCUGCUAAUAAUUAAUUUCCCUAAGCCUUACAAAAUUUACCUGUAGGUAGUCAUUGCUAUGUAAGAACUCACAAAUUAACUCUGCUGUGUCAUACAAGUAUUCCAUCGAUGAGUAAAAAUUUUCUACAACAGUGUACAUUACACCUUGCUUCCCUAAUGCACAAAUGUAUUCAAGCCAGUAUUUGAUUAGUUUGGUAUUCUAAAUGUUUUCUGUGUGAUUUAGUUUCUUUACAGGAACUUACUGUACAGCAUCAGCAAGCAGUCUAAUUUAAGAUUUAUGUGUGCUGUAAAAGGUGUGCUUUGCCGCUAGGAUUGAUAAAACAUGGGCCGAGGCUUCCAUACAAGGACAAACUUCAAUUUCGCUCUACCGCCAUCAGCACUUGGCUGGCGCUUGCAAAAUGAAUCACAUCAAGUAGCUUGUGCCAGACUGUUUUUUAACCUUAUUGUGAGGAGAUCACAAAGUGAUGUGUGGAGGCGCCUGCGUCAGAGAUGUAGAUUGCGC
rnacentral:lncRNA from 1 species